AAUAUUGAUGAAUCUGGGCUCCUGCUCACUCUGGACAGCAAGCAGACUCUUGCUAAAGGAGGCAGAAAAGAAUUCCCAGUAAGCUGGAUGUGUUCUGGGAGUCCCCUCCAUGGACAAAUCUGUAAUCAGAUUUGGGGGUGUGGGAGGUCUCUCUGUUGUCAUGGUGAUUUUUUUAAAAAAGUUUCUUCUUUAAAACAUCCCAGACAUCAAGACUCUGAAGUAAUGGCCCUUUGAAAAUUGAACCAUAUUAAUAAGAUCUACCCGACUGAACAAUGUGUUUCUUUCUUUCUUUUUAUUAGAUGCAUUAUUAACUUGGCUAGCGGCAAGACCUCCUCAAUGCUAAGUGCCCAUCCAUAAAGAACACCAUUUCCAGCCCAGAAUAAAUGAGGAUGCUGAUGGCUGGUGUGAUGAAGUCAGAUUGUGAGCUACACUGUAGGUGGACACUAGCCAACAGCCAGAAAGGAACUGAAACCCUCAGUCCAACAGCCCAUGGGGAACUGAGUCCUGCCAACGUGAGCUUGGAAGUAGAUUCUUCCCCAAUCAGAUCUCCAGAUGGGACUCCAGCCCUGGUCAACUCCUUGGUUGAAGCCUCAUGGGAAAUCCUGAAGCAGGAGCCUCAGCUAAGCCAGACCUGGAAUCCUGACCCCACACACACUCUGAGAUAAUAAAUAUGUGUUGUUUUAAGCCA